AAUAGUUUCGUACCACAAAAUGUGGCACUCUUUGUGGUACUCAAUUUAUCUGAAGAGUGCCACAUUUUGUGGUACGAAACUAUU